rnacentral:rRNA from 1 species
GACGAACGCUGGCGGCGUGCCUAAUACAUGCAAGUUGAGCGAUGAAGAUUGGUGCUUGCACCAAUUUGAAGAGCAGCGAACGGGUGAGUAACGCGUGGGGAAUCUGCCUUUGAGCGGGGGACAACAUUUGGAAACGAAUGCUAAUACCGCAUAAUAACUUUAAACAUAAGUUUUAAGUUUGAAAGAUGCAAUUGCAUCACUCAAAGAUGAUCCCGCGUUGUAUUAGCUAGUUGGUGAGGUAAAGGCUCACCAAGGCGAUGAUACAUAGCCGUCCUGAGAGGGUGAUCGGCCACAUUGGGACUGAGACACGGCCCAAACUCCUACGGGAGGCAGCAGUAGGGAAUCUUCGGCAAUGGACGAAAGUCUGACCGAGCAACGCCGCGUGAGUGAAGAAGGUUUUCGGAUCGUAAAACUCUGUUGGUAGAGAAGAACGUUGGUGAGAGUGGAAAGCUCAUCAAGUGACGGUAACUACCCAGAAAGGGACGGCUAACUACGUG